GAUGAACGCUGGCGGCGUGCCUAAUACAUGCAAGUCGAGCGAACGGACGAGAAGCUUGCUUCUCUGAUGUUAGCGGCGGACGGGUGAGUAACACGUGGAUAACCUACCUAUAAGACUGGGAUAACUUCGGGAAACCGGAGCUAAUACCGGAUAAUAUUUUGAACCGCAUGGUUCAAAAGUGAAAGACGGUCUUGCUGUCACUUAUAGAUGGAUCCGCGCUGCAUUAGCUAGUUGGUAAGGUAACGGCUUACCAAGGCAACGAUGCAUAGCCGACCUGAGAGGGUGAUCGGCCACACUGGAACUGAGACACGGUCCAGACUCCUACGGGAGGCAGCAGUAGGGAAUCUUCCGCAAUGGGCGAAAGCCUGACGGAGCAACGCCGCGUGAGUGAUGAAGGUCUUCGGAUCGUAAAACUCUGUUAUUAGGGAAGAACAUAUGUGUAAGUAACUGUGCACAUCUUGACGGUACCUAAUCAGAAAGCCACGGCUAACUACGUGCCAGCAGCCGCGGUAAUACGUAGGUGGCAAGCGUUAUCCGGAAUUAUUGGGCGUAAAGCGCGCGUAGGCGGUUUUUUAAGUCUGAUGUGAAAGCCCACGGCUCAACCGUGGAGGGUCAUUGGAAACUGGAAAACUUGAGUGCAGAAGAGGAAAGUGGAAUUCCAUGUGUAGCGGUGAAAUGCGCAGAGAUAUGGAGGAACACUAGUGGCGAAGGCGACUUUCUGGUCUGUAACUGACGCUGAUGUGCGAAAGCGUGGGGAUCAAACAGGAUUAGAUACCCUGGUAGUCCACGCCGUAAACGAUGAGUGCUAAGUGUUAGGGGGUUUCCGCCCCUUAGUGCUGCAGCUAACGCAUUAAGCACUCCGCCUGGGGAGUACGACCGCAAGGUUGAAACUCAAAGGAAUUGACGGGGACCCGCACAAGCGGUGGAGCAUGUGGUUUAAUUCGAAGCAACGCGAAGAACCUUACCAAAUCUUGACAUCCUUUGACAACUCUAGAGAUAGAGCCUUCUCCUUCGGGGGACAAAGUGACAGGUGGUGCAUGGUUGUCGUCAGCUCGUGUCGUGAGAUGUUGGGUUAAGUCCCGCAACGAGCGCAACCCUUAAGCUUAGUUGCCAUCAUUAAGUUGGGCACUCUAAGUUGACUGCCGGUGACAAACCGGAGGAAGGUGGGGAUGACGUCAAAUCAUCAUGCCCCUUAUGAUUUGGGCUACACACGUGCUACGAUGGACAAUACAAAGGGCAGCGAAACCGCGAGGUCAAGCAAAUCCCAUAAAGUUGUUCUCAGUUCGGAUUGUAGUCUGCAACUCGACUACAUGAAGCUGGAAUCGCUAGUAAUCGUAGAUCAGCAUGCUACGGUGAAUACGUUCCCGGGUCU
rnacentral:rRNA from 1 species